UACGGAGGGGGCAAGCGUUGUUCGGAAUCACUGGGUGUAAAGGGUGCGUAGGCGGUCCGAUAAGUCUGAUGUGAAAGCCCUGGGCUCAACUCAGGAACUGCAUUGGAUACUGACGGACUGGAGUACCGGAGAGGGAAGCGGAAUUCCUGGUGUAGCGGUGAAAUGCGUAGAUACCAGGAGGAACACCGGUGGCGAAAGCGGUUUCCUGGCCGAGUACUGACGCUGAGGCACGAAAGCGUGGGGAGCGAACGGGAUUAGAUACCCCGGUAGUCCACGCUGUAAACGAUGGGUGCUAGGUGUUGGAGGUAUCGACCCCUUCAGUGCCGUAGCUAACGCUUUAAGCACCCCACCUGGGGAGUACGUUCGCAAGAAUGAA
rnacentral:rRNA from 1 species